rnacentral:misc_RNA from 1 species
GAUGAAGAACGUAGCGAAAUGCGAUAAGUAAUGUGAAUUGCAGUAUUCAGUGAAUCAUCGAGUCUUUGAACGCACAUUGCGCCCCCUGGUAUUCCGGGGGGCAUGCCUGUCCGAGCGUCAUUGCUGCCCUCAAGCACGGCUUGUGUGUUGGGCUCCGCCCCCCUCCCGGGGGGCGGGCCCGAAAGGCAGCGGCGGCACCGCGUCCGGUCCUCGAGCGUAUGGGGCUUUGUCACCCGCUCUGUAGGCCCGGCCGGCGCCCGCCGGCGACCCCAAUCAAUCUUUCCAGGUUGACCUCGGAUCAGGUAGGGAUACCCGCUGAACUUAAGCAUAUCAAUAAGCGGAGGA